AAAUUUUUUUUUAGGGCUGGUAAGGGAGUGCUACAGUUUGCUACUUCAUGAUGAAAGGAUAAUCCAGGCGCAGCUCUAUUUUUAGCCUUCUGAGAACACAACACACCAAUGCCAUUUUUCCAGAGGAAAUGUGAGGAUAAAAACCACUAGUAUGGCGCAGGAGGGUGAUGGCUGUGCAGACUCCGUCCCCCCCUGCCACAGCAUGGCCCUACUGGCACCAUCCCCUUGGGCACUGCUUCUGUGCCCUGCAAAGGAAGCCAAGAUCAGACAGCUCCUGUUAGUGCUGCCUGCCCGCUACCCAGCGAAGUGGUCUGCGCCCAAGCGGGAUGGAAAACAGAGCUCACCCAGCAAAUCAGCAGGAGCAGCCAAGCCCAGGCCUUGCAGCCCAUGCUGAUGAGGAACACACAACCAGCUCACAGUGGGGUGAGCCGAAGCACUGCUCUUCCUGCUCUCCUCCCAGCCCAGCUGACCGCCUGCCAGCAGCAAGCUUGAGACAGCCCUGGAAAGCAAAAGUGCUCUGCCGAGGGGGACACAGAGCCUAGAGAGGGUGCUUCCCGGCACUGCUCCCUCUCUCUCUCAGAUGUUGAGGGCUCGAACUUGCAGUUACCACAAAGUUCUUGUGCCCUUUGCAACAGAAAGCCAAUUUGUGGAGUAAUUGCAAUAAUGCUAAAAUAAAUAAAGGCAUUUCCUUGUCCCA